rnacentral:rRNA from 1 species
UUAAUAAUAUAAUCUGCUCAAUGAAAAUUAAAUAGCCGCAAUUCGUGCUAAGGUAGCAUAAUCAUUUGUCUUUCAAUUGAAGACUAGAACAAAAGAUUUAACAUUUGUAUUUAUAUCUUUAAUCAAAUAAUUUAAAUUAUUCAAAAAGUAAAAAAACUUUUAUUAAAAAGAAAGACGACAAGACCCUAUUGAACUUAACUUAAGUUAUACUGGGGAAGUAAGUUAAUUAUAAUUUUAAUCACAUUUUCUAAUUAAAAAUCUUAUCAAAUAAAUUCAUCAAGUUACCAUAGGGAUAACAGCGCAAUUAUAUUUUAAAGAACCUAUACAAAAAAUAGAUUACGACCUCGAUGUUGAAUUAAUAACCUAUUUUAAAGUAAAAAUUAAAAAAGGAAGUCUGUUCGACUUUUAAAUAAUUACAUGAUUUGAGUUCAAACCGGUGCAAGCCAGGUUGGUUUCUAUCUUCUCAAUUUUUAUACAGUACGAAAGGGCCUAUAAAUUUAAUAUAAUUAAUUUUUUGGCAGAAAAAUGCAUUAGAAUUAGAAUCUAAAUAAACUUGU